rnacentral:lncRNA from 1 species
CGAUUCCUCUGCCCUGGAUAGAGAGUGGUGUCUCAUAACAGUUUGGAAACUACAAAAGUUUCCCUGGCAGGAUGAAUGAUUGACUCGGCAACAUGUUCUUGCCUUUUGGAGUUGCCCUCCAAUUUUUCCAGGCUUGAUUCUGUAAAUCAUUUCGUCUUGUGAAAAUACUGGGCCGUGAGCACAGAUGAUCUCAAAGAUGAGGAAACAGAAGCUGGGAUAUGUGAGUAAACAUUUCCAAGGUCCUGCAGCUAAUCAGUGGUUGACAACUUCUUUCCUCUGCCUAUGUUGCCAUCCAUGUCAUGGUUUGUGUCAAGACUCUAGGAGAAGUCUACCAUCAGCACCACAGCUACUGUGCACAAAUCCAGAAUGCCAGACUGAAAGCAGAAGGAAGGGUAAAAGUUCAAUUCUCAGAUGGCAAUUCAGAUUUAGAAAACAGAAUGAGAAAGAGCAGUAGUGUCCAUCUCUCCUCAAUGAUGAAUUCAUGUCUUAAAAUGUAUCUGCAUCUAUUUCUUUCGGUCUACCAUCCAUCCAUCCAUCCAUCUUUCCUUCUUUCUUCUUUCUCUUUCUCUCUCUCCCUCCUUCCUUCUCUUCUUUCUUCCUUCCUUUUCAUAAGUAAAACUAGUACUAAUGCAGAAGUCUGAAAUUAGACUUUAAAAACGAGUACUACUCUUUUUUUUUCCUUUUUUGAGAGAGCUGGUGAUUUUCUUCCUUGCUUGGCAUUAACUGUCUUACUGUCUUAUGAUACUUAUCUUUAAUGUGGCAUAUCAGAGAACCUCUUUGAAAAUGUUAUGGCUUAAUGCGGCUCAGGGAAAGGCAAAAUAAAGCUUUCUGAUACAGACUUCACAGUUAAUUUUUGAGAAGGUCCACUUUCAUAUGCAAGCAAAUCUGUUUAGAAAUGUUUUAAAUUUUAAAGCAUGCAUACACAUAUAAAACUCAUUUAUGUGUUUUUAAAUGCUGUUUAAAAUUUUAAAGUAUACAUACAGAGCAAGAGAGCAAGAGAGGGUGCUCAAUAUGCAUCAUAAUAGCAUGAGAACUGAAAAAUAAAAGUUUACUUGCAAACUUAACCGGCUUUGCAAUGCAACAGACUAAACAAGUCACAUUUUAUACAAUGUAUAUGUUUAUAAUAUGAGUGCAGCAUGCCAAUGUGCUAUUUAGAUCAUUGUCCUGGUUGAAUGAACAAGCUCACAGGUUCACCAUUUAAUAUUUGUUCUCUUAAAAACAUGAAACUCGUUUUGAAAAUACUGGCUUAAAUGGGCAUUAUUAAGUCUUU